AAAACGCUGCUAACUCGCGAGAGGGAGCCAAUCGGAAAAAGCCGGUCUCAGUUCGGAUUGGAUUCUCUUCCUCGACUCCAUGAAGUUGGAAUCGCUAGUAAUCGCAGAUCAGCACGCUGCG
rnacentral:rRNA from 1 species